UUGUUUACUGAUAAGUUUUUAAUAAGCUGCCAGCUGGUAGAAAUGGUGGCCGAUAAUAAAUACAGUGAAAAUUUUUGACAUUUCAAUACACAAUCUGAGAUCACUGCCUACUAAGAUCAAACCAAAAAAUCUGUAGACAAUAAGUGCCAAAAUCAAAUCACCCCCUGCAGUUUUAUAGCUAGCAUAAAAAGCUGGAUAACCGUUCCUCUACUGAGCAACCAUAUAUGAAUAUUCUUCUACCAUAACAACUGUGGUACACUGCCUUUGGAUGGAUCUGUGAUUUUUGACUGCCAAUUUUCGACCGCACAAUGCAGUUUUGUUUUUAUUCAGAAACACCGUAAAGUGCCUUGAAUAAUUAUUCUGAUGCUGACGUCGCAGUUUACAUUUUCCGCUCUACGCCUAUGCCAGUGUCCAGUAUCCCGUGGAGGAGGUAAAAUGCAAGAUAACUUCCACUUUGGAAACAUUGUGCCGGAUGUUCCGGAUUUCAUUGUUCCUGAUGGAUAUUAGAUCAUCUGCUCCGAAUUUCCAAUCGGAUAUCAGAAAUAAGACUGAUACGGAAACCUGGAACCCGAGAGCAUAAUCGUCACAUGCCGUUAAUGGAUGCGGUAGUGGUGCACGAAAAGAUGAGCGUAAAAGUAACAAUGUCAGUUAUUUCUAAUUGCAUUACCAAGAAUGUGAAUAAAUAAAAUACUAAAAAAUGUUAUCUUUAA